rnacentral:misc_RNA from 1 species
UAGCUCUGUAUCUGCGAAAUUAUUGUGUUUGAUGAAGAAUGAGAAAUCAGUUCUAUAGCUGAUGGUGAUCGGUGAUCAGCUCAAGAGUAGAGUGGAGCCUGCAAAAUAUAUAUGAACUGUAAAAGUUGAUCAGGCCNNNNNNNNNGCUUCGAGAUGGUGAUGAAAGAGAAAGAUGAAGAGCUCGCGCUUUUUCUUGAGAUGCGGAGAAGGGAGAAGGAGAAGGAGAGAAAUAACCUCCUUCUAAACAACUCCUCUGAUGGGCAUAAUGCCUCUUUUGGAACCAAUAAUCCUAGGGGUUCACCCAUAUCGAAAGUAAUUUCCUCUGUGCCACCCCGAAAGACUGCUGCUGAUAAAUUUUUGGAUUCAGAGAACGACAAAUCUGAUUAUGAUUGGCUUCUUACACCACCUGAGACCC